GACACGAGAUGCACAACCGCGUCGGAUGAUUGCCUCAGCUCGGGCACGAGUGCUGAGACCUCACGCGCUGCAUGCAUGGCGAGGGACUUCCCAUGAGGUCAAAGCGGCGCAGGUCAUGCAAAAGGACGCGUUCGCUGUUUGGUCCAAAAAAUUUGAAAACUCAAUAAAGUUAUCCUGCACACAACGAAUCCAGUGUCAGCAGUUCGUUUUGUUUUUCUAAGUAAUAAUACUUUGUGCCUUGGCCUUCGAAGUAAAGGAUGAUGGAGCUUGACAGAGAUGACUGCCAAAGUGAUGAGUCCACCGUGGAAGAUGUAGAUGACGCCACGUAUUCACUUGGUGACCUGAGUUGUGGGGAUGUUCAGCUGUGGGCUACAGAUCGAUGUAAGAGUGGUAGUGCCAUCAUGGUGUACAGGCCUAUGGAAGGUGCAGUGAUCCAUGGAAUUUGCAAACUGCUGGCAAUGAGACAGGCGAGUGUUACUGAGGCGACGGAGUCAUUCCUGCAUGUUAUUACGACACGGUUACACAAGGCAUCAGGUACUGCAAAUCUGCUACGCCAGGAAGUGUGCCAGCUGAAGGCAUGCAAGGGUGCUGAUAUUUCGCAAGCAUGGCAACAAAUGCUGUCCGUCAAGACAAGACAGUGGUGCCCCAGUUGUCGCGUUCGAGUCAUUGCCAGGGGCCGAGCAUUUCUCCGCUCUCUCCUCGUGGGUUGUAAGCUCUGUAUAAGACAAAAUACAACACAGAGUGAACAUUGGUGAUACGAUUAUUUUUGUUAUGGCAUUCACCUGUUCGAAUUUGCACAGGGUGCAUCAAACCCUGUAGCCUUUGCACAAGUCUGACCAUUACUACGGGCAGAUACGACUGGCUAUGUGCAAUAACUUAGGGUGUGGGGUGGUUCUCAUAGCGUUCCAAUAAAUUGCUUUCCCUUGUUUGUUUGUUUUUCUGCAGGCAUUUCAUGGAUUCUCUUGAUGUUCUGACUGAGUAUUAAUAACUCAACUACA